rnacentral:tmRNA from 1 species
UGCUCUCUUUUGUUGAGUUUUCUGUCCAUAUAGGCUACUCUACCCUCUCGUCGCCCUAGUUUCCUCGCCCCCUCUCGAGUUAAGAUGAAUUUUUACAACCCCUACCUACGCAAGGGCUCUAAGAAAAAGGCGGACCAGCCUUGCCAAGAAAGAGCCGGGGCCACUGAAAACAUACAGAGGCUAAUUCCCCUAUGUUUCCAGACCCCUGGAACGUCUGGAUACAAGACUUUUAACUCAAUGCUUCCCCCUGUGACAUUUUUGAAUGACCAGCAAAUAAAUCUUCCGCUGCAGCCCGGGCAGCCCCCCUGGACUCCACCCAACAAUACUGCUUCAAUCAAACAGAAAGGCGGACUUGUGGAAAACUUGAAAUUUCAUGUCUAUGACAUCAUCUCAUCUUGUUACAGCCAGGACCGCUGCGAGGACAUUCCGUUCAGAUUCCAGGCGGACAUUAUUCCCAGUGGGACUGUUAUUCAUCUCUUGGGUAAGCUGGAAAAUGGGCAAAGUGUAUGUGUCAAUGUUUUUGGCCAAAAAAUAUACUUCUAUGCCAAGGCUCCAAACAGCCUUGUGCUCAGCUCGGCCAUCCAGGAAGUCAUGAGUCAAUUCAAGGGCAAGCGGGGUCCGUCUUUUCACAUAACCCAGGAGGAAAAAAUUCCACUGGUAACCUACACCGAAGAAUUGACAAAGGUCUACAAAGUUACCCUCUCAUCUUCCCAAUUGCUGUAUCCCAUCUGCGAUAAGCUUAAGGCGUUGGGUAUUGAACUUUUUGAGACCAACGUGGAUGCCUGCCAAAGAUUUAUGAUAGACAAUAAUUUUUCCACAUUUGGCUGGUACACUUGUGACGUGGCAGACCUUCGCCAGUCGAAGAAAGACUCUUUAUGUCAGUUAGAGAUAGACUGUGGUCUGGAGAACAUCUGUCAUCAUCCAGAGCUCUCCUCCUGGCCCCCCUACAAUAUCCUGUCAUUUGAUAUAGAGUGUUUGGGUGAAUGUGGGUUUCCCUGUGCCCUGAAAGAACAGGAUUGUAUUAUUCAAAUUUCCUGUGUCACCUGGAACUGUGCCACCAACUCCAUCUCCAAGCUGUUGUUUUCCCUGGGUACCUGCGACCCCAUCGAGGGCACUGAAGUGUAUGAGUGCCCCUCAGAAUAUGAUCUGUUGAUGGCUUUCCUAAUUUUCAUGAGGGACAGCGGUGUUGAAUUUAUUUCGGGAUAUAAUAUCGCCAACUUUGAUUUGCCAUACAUCAUAGACAGGGCCACCCAAAUCUAUAACAUUGACUGUACACAGUUCACCAAGCUGGUCACCAUGAGGACCUUCGAGGUCAGGAAGCCCAUAGACAGUGGAGCGGGAUUCAUGAGGGCCCAAACCAAGAUCAGGAUAUCGGGAGUCAUUCCAGUGGACAUGUACACCGUGUGCAAAGACAAACUCAGCCUCUCUGACUACAAACUGAACACUGUUGCCAAACACUGCCUGAACAUGGAAAAGGAAGAUGUGUCUUAUAAGGAUAUUCCAAUACUUUUCAAGGAGGGGCCCACAGGGCGGGCUAAAAUUGGAACAUACUGUGUUAUGGAUAGUCAGUUGGUCCUGGACCUACUGAAAUACUUUAUGGCACACAUCGAAAUUGCAGAAAUUGGGAAGUUGGCCAAGAUUCCCGUCAGACGGGUGCUGACUGAUGGACAACAAAUCAGAGUUUUCUCUUCUUUGCUCGACGCUGCCAGGAGGGAGAACUACAUCCUGCCAUCAAAUCAGGCAAAAUGCAGCAACAGUGGGUACCAGGGAGCCACGGUCAUAGAUCCCAUAACAGGAUUUUACAACACUCCUGUGCUUGUAGUGGACUUUGCCAGCCUGUACCCAAGCAUUAUUCAGGCACACAAUCUGUGUUAUUCUACUAUUAUUCCUGACAACAAACUUCAGAUGUUCCCCAACCUGACACCUGCGGACUAUGAGACUUUUACCCUCCCUAGCGGCACUGUUCACUUUGUGAAAAAACACAAGAAAUGUUCACUAUUGUCUAGACUGUUGACAAAAUGGCUGGCCAAAAGAAAAGAGAUCCGGACACAGCUGGCAGCUUGUGAGGAUCCCAUCACAAAGACCAUAUUGGAUAAACAGCAGCUGGCCAUAAAGGUCACCUGUAAUUCUGUUUAUGGCUUCACAGGAGUGGCCUCUGGAAUGUUGCCUUGCCUCCAAAUUGCAGAGACCAUCACUUUCCAGGGCAGGAAAAUGCUGGAAAAAUCCAGAGCCUAUAUAGAAAACAUGAGCUCUGCCACUCUUGGGGCACUGAUGCACAAGACCUACAACCCAGAUGCCUACUUCAGAGUGAUUUAUGGAGACACUGAUUCUCUUUUUGUGGAAACUCAGGGGUAUACGUUAGAGGAAGUGGUAGAGUUUGGAGAGAUGUUGGCAGACAAUACAACCAAGGCCCUGUUUGUACAACCUAUAAAACUAGAGGCCGAGAAGACCUUUAAAAGUUUGCUAAUGAUUACCAAGAAGAGAUAUGUGGGGACUCUGAGUAACAACAAACUGUUAUUGAAGGGUGUGGAUCUUGUCAGGAAAACUGCAUGCAAGUUUGUCCAGUCUGCCACCUCAAACGUGGUCUCCCUGAUUUUGAAUGACAACGAUGUCAGGGCGGCCGCCCAAACAAUGAGUAACUGGGGGAAGCUGGAUGUAUACAGGAGGGGCCUGCCCAGUGGCUUCAGUAAAGUCAUUGAUGCGCUUAACCACAACCAUUUACAAUUAAUAACCAACUCUGUUGAUAUUGACCAUUUGACCUUCACUACCGAACUGAGUAAGCCUCUGACUGAAUAUAAAACCACAAACCUGCCACACUUGGCAGUCUUUAAGAAGCUUGUCAGCAGACAGGAAGAGUUACCUCAGAUUCAUGACAGAAUACCUUAUGUAUUCAUAGACGGUAGUGAAAAGGGACUAAAGUCUGACUUGGCAGAGCACCCCGCCUACGUGCGUCAGCAGAACUUAAGAAUUGCACACAAGGUAUAUUUUGACAAACUGGUCCAUUCGGUGGCUAAUAUAAUUCAGUGCCUCUUUGACAACGACACUGACUAUACAGUGAAAAUCAUCUACAACUUCCUGAACAUCCAACCAGACAACAUAUCUGAGAUUGCUGAACUUUUAAACAUCCAAACUGGUCAUGGAGAAGUCUGCCCCCUCGAUUAUUCUUAAUCACUGGUGCGUGACCUGGCAGGGUCACCAUUUUCUCUGCAGAAACCUUUCAAAUAUAAAAAUUCUAAACAGAAGGAAUGGAUACACCACUCUGGACCUACCACUGACCCUUGGAGACCUGACACAAUAUAGACUGGCUCAUGGACUUAGUGAAAAUCUAAUGGCGCUCAGUCCUUACUCUUGGACCAUACCCUUUCUGGUGUCAUCGAGUGAAACACCUGGAAUUGAGCUUCUUCCUAAGGUGAUUAAUGACUUUGGCACCCCGCUAUCAUUGGCUAUAAAAACUAAUCUCCCGUCUAUCCCCGCGCAUCAGCUGCUAUUUUACAUCAUUUUCCUCCGACCCUCACCCCUAACAUCCAUGUCCUGUUAUGCCAGGCCCCUGUCUUUAGCUUCUACACCCUCCACCAAUGGCCUGUGCCAAUCAGUCUCUGUCUUGGAUAAUAAACCUGGGCUCCUGAUCACUACCCCACUACAUAGAGACCCAGCCAGCGGGAAAUAUACAAGCAAUGUCCAGAGUCCAACUACCUUUAACCUGUUCAGGGUUCUCUACAUCAAGCUAUCGGGGGAGGAGGGGAUGGUUUCUCAAAAAGUAAAGCAUCUCACAAUUGACAAAGAUUCCCUGCAGGAAGGCUUCCUUCAACUGUGUUUAAACAUGUGUGGAGUGUCUUAUGAGACUCUCCAAUGUGAGAUAUUAUUAGAACUGGUUCAGGGCCCCACAAAUUUCAUAUUUCCAGCAGCCUUUCCACCCCCCGUGAGUCUUCCCCACAGAAACUGCAUAGAACUAACUUGUGACACAGAAAGGUGUUUGAAACCAGGUGAUGUUAUGAAACUGAAGCACAGAUUACUUUAUGAGUUGGGACAGAGGGGGGACACACCACAAAAUGCCUUUUUGAUUGUUGGGGCCCACUCACCAGAAACAGUGUGGAUUUCACCAAGUCUGUGGCUACCGGGCCAACCACUAUAUAUAAACAUAAUAAACCUGUCUCACAAACCAUUGCUCUUGUCUAGACAUUCCAUACUGGCACUUGCCAUCCCUAUAUCUUAUACUCGCGCCCCCGCCUCUGCCCACGAGGCGACAGAUACUACCAUCUGCUAUUCUGGAAACAGCAGAGUGUUGACCUGCGGUGCAGCACACGUGCUGGAAGCCCACUUCAAACAUCCUCCAAUAACUUCCAGAGCGAUCACAGAUGGCGGAGAGUCACCCAUGGAGUGGCAGACCCUCUAGUUCCCCACGAAGGUCAUCUACAUUUGCCAACUAUGCCUGGAAGCAUACAAUCAAGCCAAACAGGAUUUUGAUACGCAAUGCCCGGCCACUGGUCAUCAAUUUUGCCACUGAUAGGCUUCCUAUCAUCAAGCCAGUGGAUCAGAUCAUACUGGAAGACGCGGGCACCGUGGGGUCCGCCCUUAAUCUACCCAGCGAGUCUAUCUGCACUAGACCAGGCCUGCUCCUGUUUGGACACUACAAUAACGAUGUGCCAGUCACCCCCCUGGUGGACUUUAAGCCCGAUGAGCCCCUCCAGGUUGUCCUCACAGCCCACAAGACCAUAGUGGUGCCACCAGGAGAAUUUGUCAUGAUCAUCGUGUGUGUAAAUUUUGAAAAAAUAAAAUCCCUGGACCUCAUCAUCCAUGAAAUGUCAACCAGCAACAUCCCCCUACCACCCACCUGUGGGCAGACCUUCAAAAACUUCAAUACAGCCACCCCCUCUCUGGAAAUCUAUGGAGAUGUCAUAGAGUGUAAUGACGACCAGAAGACCUGCGUCUUCACAGCCGUCUUUCCCGGGCUCCACAGGCGCUGCAGCCUCCACGGUCCCCUAAAUUUUAUGGGAUUUGUCAACAGUGUGAAUAUAACUGGAACUAUCCUCAGGGUGUACUAUUCUGGUGUCAGUGAAGCUGCCCCAGACAGCAUACUUGUCAAAUUCAAAACCUCCUCUGCCGUGGCCUUCAGUAAGAACCCGUGCCAAGGACAUGUUCCCAGUCAUGAUGAUACUUUGAUUCCCCUGGUGUAUACCGGACCCACCCUCCGUCUCCUCCCGCUGGAAACCAUCAGUAUUCCCUUCAAUACCUCUUUUGUGGCCCAGAACCCUGACCUGAAAGCCAUCAUCUAUGACAACAACUUAAAAGACAUCAGGAUCUCUGCAACCAUGUGGACAGGAGAACAGACACCCAUCUUGGCCCACAAUUUAACCGCCGCAGUUAAACUUAUCCACAGUGGGACCGUGUUUGCCAGGGCAGCCUUUUUCUCCACUAAAGAGAACAAGAAGGCCUGCACACUUAAACUCUGCCCCUCAACCAUCCUUCUUCCAGGUGGUGAGCUGAGUCUAGAUACCUCUACCCUCCCCAACUGUUUCAAAUGAUUCUUGUGAGUGCUGACAGGCUUAAUAAAGAAAAUGAUUAAAUGAAA